rnacentral:tRNA from 1 species
GUUGUGGCUCGCUCAGUGGUAGAACGCUCUCCUAGCACGUGUGAGGUCCUGGGUUUGAUCCUUAGCACCACA